UACGUAGGGGGCAAGCGUUGUCCGGAAUCAUUGGGCGUAAAGAGCGUGUAGGCGGCCCGGUAAGUCCGCUGUGAAAGUCCAGGGCUCAACCCUGGGAUGCCGGUGGAUACUGUCGGGCUCGAGUCCGGAAGAGGAGUGUGGAAUUCCUGGUGUAGCGGUGAAAUGCGCAGAUAUCAGGAGGAACACCAAUGGCGAAGGCAGCACUCUGGGACGUGACUGACGCUGAGGCACGAAGGUCAGGGGAGCAAACGGG
rnacentral:rRNA from 1 species